GACGAACGCUGGCGGCGUGCUUAACACAUGCAAGUCGAACGGAAAGGCCCUGCUUGCAGGGUGCUCGAGUGGCGAACGGGUGAGUAACACGUGGGUGAUCUGCCCCUUAUUUUGGGAUAAGCCUGGGAAACUGGGUCUAAUACUGGAUAGGACCAUGCUGUAGGUGGUGUGGUGGAAAGAUUAGUUUCGGUAAGGGAUGAGCUCGCGGCCUAUCAGCUUGUUGGUGGGGUAAUGGCCUACCAAGGCGUCGACGGGUAGCCGGCCUGAGAGGGUGGACGGCCACAUUGGGACUGAGAUACGGCCCAGACUCCUACGGGAGGCAGCAGUGGGGAAUAGUGCACAGUGGGCGCAAGCCUGAUGCAGCGACGCCGCGUGGGGGAUGACGGCCUUCGGGUUGUAAACUCCUUUCAGCCAUGACGAAGCCCUUGUGGUGACGGUAGUGGUAGAAGAAGCACCGGCUAACUACGUG
rnacentral:rRNA from 1 species